CUUCUCCCACAACCAAAAGGUCUCUCUUUUUACAAGACUACAGCCUCUGAAAAAUUGCAUGUGAUUAUCACACAGAAGAAUUACAAAUGAGUAUCACACUACUCACAGUGAAGUAGCAGGAAUGGUGGUCGUAAGUGGGCAGCAAUAGAUAUUACAAAUAGAAGCUCUGAGAUCAUCUAGACCAUCUCAUACAGCAUGUAGCGAUGGAUCAGCAAGCCUCUACUCAAAGACUUCCAGGAAUGCUAAAGGCCUUUAUGUGACAGGCAGGAAUGAAUGACAGCUUUAGAAAAGCCACACGUAUGGAAGAGAAAAGAUUAUGGACAAAGACUGAAGAGUACAUAAAGGCUCUUCCGAAAGGACCAGCUGGACUACCAUUUUAAAGGUCUCUUAUGAAACUGAGCAACACUGGAACACCUGUUACUCAACUUGAACAAAGGGAAUGCAGGAUGUGUCACCUAGAUAAUUAGCAUCCUAACUUCCAAGGGGACUGAUUUCCACUAUCAUGAUUCUUUUCUGUUAACAUGAUCACAUACGCAAAAAGAAUUGGAUACACAAGUGACUAGAAAAAAAAUGCAACCUUAAAAGCUCUUUUUAAAUGAGGCAGCCCCACACAUAUGUUCCAAUCAUAAUAAAGAAUCUAUGACAGAUACAAUUACAGCUAAUUGUUCAACAAUCUGGUUAGUGUGAACAUCAAGUAAAACACAAAACCAGGAAACAUUUUUGCCUAGGUUGUUCAUCAGUAUUAAGGAAGAUGCUCUGCAUAUCAAUGGUGUGGUCCUCUAAGCGCUUCCAAUACAAGAUAAUAUCAUGGAAAUUUCACUAAGUCCCAGAAUAUAACUAAGCUUACUUAAAGAAAUACAGUUACUUGGAUGAAGUGAUGCAAAGAAAAAUGAGCCGCAAGAGAACAUUGUAUACAAUGACAGCAAUAUUGCAAGGAUGAUCAAUUCUGAAAGACAGCUACUAUGGUCAAGACAAGGAUCCAAGACAAUUCCAUAGGACUCAUGAUGAAAAAUGCUCUCCACCUCCAAAGAGAUUUGAUGAACUCCAAGUGCUGACUGAAGCAUACUUUUUAAAUUUUAUUUUUGUGCAAUUUUUUGUGUUUUUUUUUUUGCAACAUGGCUAAUAGGGAAAUA